rnacentral:rRNA from 1 species
GUUUGAUCCUGGCUCAGAAUCAACGCUGGCGGCGUGCCUAACACAUGCAAGUCGAACGAGAAAGUCUCCGCAAGGGGAUGAGUAAAGUGGCGACCGGGUGAGUAACACGUAGCUAACCUACCCUCGAGUGGGGGAUAACCUGGGGAAACCUGGGCUAAUACCGCAUAAGAUCCUGAUGACGCAAGUCAAUGGGAGCAAAGGCCCGCAAGGGUCGCUGGAGGAGGGGGCUGCGGCCGAUUAGCUAGUUGGUGAGGUAACGGCCCACCAAGGCGAUGAUCGGUAGCCGGCCUGAGAGGGCGCACGGCCACACUGGCACUGAAACACGGGCCAGACUCCUACGGGAGGCAGCAGUGGGGAAUUUUGCACAAUGCCCGAAAGGGUGAUGCAGCAACGCCGCGUGAGGGAUGAAGGCCUUCGGGUCGUAAA